rnacentral:rRNA from 1 species
CCUACGGGUGGCAGCAGUGAGGAAUAUUGGACAAUGGGCGCGACCCUGAACCAGCGAAGUAGCGUGAAGGAUGAAUGAUCUACGGGUUGUAAACUUCUUUUAUAAAGGAAUAAAGUGAGGCUCGUGUGCCUUUUUGUAUGUACUUUAUGCAUAAGGAUCGGCUAACUCCGUGCCAGCAGCCGCGGUUAUACGGAGGAUCCGAGCGUUAUCCGGAUUGAUUGGGUUUAAAGGGAGCGUAGAUGGGGCGUUAAGUCAGUUGUGAAAGUUUGCGGCUCAACCGUGAAAUUGCAAUUGAUACUGGCAGGCUUGAGUACAGUUGAGGUAGGCGGAAUUCGUGGUGUAGCGGUGAAAUGCUUAGAUAUCACGAAGAACACCGAUUGCGAAGGCAGCCUACUAAACGGCCACUGACAUUGAUGCUCGAAAGUGUGGGUAGCAAACAGGAUUAGAUACCCGUGUAGUC